GUGGACGGAUGGGCUUUGGGCUUGUGGGGGCAGUGAGGGAUCCCUGUGUGAACGGAUGACUCAACCAACUGUCCCAUUUUUCCAGGGUCCGAGGGGUUUCCCGGGGUGUGGAUUUUUCAAGGCUAACGUUGAGAUGAUCUGUAGCAAACUGGGAAUUUCAUCACCCUACCAGUUGGAUGGACAGAGGACUAGACGGGGAUGGAUGGAAAGACGGACAAAAGAGUGACUGUAGACGGAUGCAAGGAAACGGAUUCAUCCAGACAUUAUUGACAAAGCUUGGAAGCUGGAGCUGAAAUCCUCAGAAGAUCCGUCCCUUGAAGCGUGUAUGAUGCUGGCUGUCAGCUGAUCCUGGGGCUGAGAGGAGCUGGAGGAUCUCCAACUCAUCCUCAUCUCACCAGUUUCAGCCCGGAGCUGCCAGCCCAGUGGAACCAUCUUGAGUUCUGAGAAGAAUCUACACUUGUGAAUUUUCAUAAGACUUCAACUUUGAUGGCCGCAGAGAACUCCAAGUGGACACCCUAAGGUGGAGGCCGCCAUUCCUGAGAUGGAUGUGCUCAUUUUUCAAGGCUUCAGCCCAAUGAACUUUCACACAUGUAUGCACCUGUGUGACCGCCCCCUCGAUCAAAACAGAAAAUCUUUCUGGCCUCCACCCUACAGAGUGUUUUGCAGUCAAAACCACCAUGACUUCACUAUUAGACAAUUUAGAAAUCUGGUCAAUCACUGAAGACUGAAGAUCCUGGCUUAUGCUGAAUUAGCUAAGAGGGCACCUUUGUUCCAAACACAGAAGGUAAAGGGCACAACCUUUAGACCUUCUCCAGGCUUUAUCACCAAUGGAUAAAGCUUACUCAAGGGUUAGAAGAGAAUGAUGUCCAAAAGAACAAACAUGAGAAACCAGCAAAAAGGAAAUGGAAGCAAGAGAUGUGCAUGUGUCUAUGACAUGAACGCCAAUGGGCUUCAGAAGACUCUGUAGGAAGUGUGUCCCAGCAGCUGGCAAUAUGAGCUCCCACCAAACUGAGAGGACAAGGGAUAUAUCCAUCCUUCAGGAGGUGAUUCUCAAGGAAAGCGCUGCACAGGGACCUGCUCACCUGCGUGAUUAUGCGCUCUCCAUCCUUAUAGACCUUCUCUCCUAUUACAUCCACAAUCUUCAUUCGUUCUGACACCUGAAACAAUGAACAUACCCAUAAACUACAAGGAAAAGAUCUCAAUGGAAAAUCACAAGAUCUAAACAACACAGAAAUGGGUUAAAAUAAUCCAAUAUAAAAAUUUAAUAGUUUUAAAUCUUAAAUCUCCAUAAACAGACUCUUAUUUGAAUACACUUUACCUCUAGUGAUUUAAGGAGGGGCACAGACUCAAUAAAUGAUUCAAACAUC